UUACUGUUUUAGGUUUCUCGACUUCUCGUAUUUUAAGAAAACCCCAAAAAGAGAUGCAAAAUCUAAUUCAGUUUAUGCAUAAAUAAAUAAAUAAAUUGACGUCGUUCUUGAAAGAGUCGAAGCAACGCAAAGCACAGGUGAGAGAGAAAAAAACUUAAAACCAGAAGAAGUAGAAAAGAAUGGCGGUUGGAAUUACAGAUGGAGCAAUUACUAAGCCUCAUACAGACAACAGGGAGUACCGAAGAAUCGUUCUCCCUAACUCUCUCGAAGUUCUUCUCAUUAGUGAUCCUGAAACUGAUAAGUGUGCUGCAUCUAUGUCUGUUGGUGUGGGUUACUUUAGUGAUCCUGAAGGUCUUGAAGGGCUUGCCCACUUUCUAGAGCAUAUGCUGUUUUAUGCAAGCGAAAAAUAUCCAGUGGAAGACAGUUAUUCAAAGUAUAUUACGGAGCAUGGAGGCUCUACGAAUGCUUACACAUCCACCGAGCAUACUAACUACUUUUUUGAUGUCAAUACAGACUCUUUUGAAGAAGCUCUUGAUAGGUUCUCUCAGUUCUUUAUUAAACCUUUGAUGUCUGCUGAUGCUACCACAAGGGAAAUAAAAGCAGUGGAUUCUGAAAAUCAGAAGAAUUUAUUGUCAGACGCAUGGAGAAUGACUCAGCUUCAGCAGCAUCUAUCUACAGAAGGUCACCCGUAUCAUAAAUUUGGUACAGGGAAUUGGGAUACAUUAGAGGUUCGUCCGAAACAAAAAGGACUGGAUACAAGAAAUGAGCUUAUUAAAUUCUACGAAGAACACUAUUCUUCUAACAUCAUGCGUUUGGUCAUAUAUGGAAAAAAGAAUCUUGAUGACCUACAAAGUCUGGUGGAUCAGAAAUUCAAAGAAAUUCGCAAUACUGAUAAAAAUUGUUUCCAUUUUUCGGGUCAGCCUUGUAAGGCUGAACAUCUUCAGAUUCUUGUUAAAGCUAUCCCCAUAAAGCAAGGUCACAAAUUAAAAAUUGUGUGGCCUAUCACUCCAAGCAUCCUCCAUUAUAAAGAAGCCCCAUGUAGGUAUCUGGGUCACCUGAUUGGCCAUGAAGGAGAAGGAUCUUUGUUUUGCAUCUUGAAAACGCUAGGUUGGGCAACGGGUUUGUCCGCGGGUGAAGAUGAUUCGAGUAACGAUUAUGCGUUCUUUAAAGUAAACAUUGAUCUUACUGAUUCUGGCAAUGAGCAUAUGGAAGAUAUUGUUGGAUUGUUGUUCAAAUAUGUUAUCCUUUUACAACAAUCUGGUGUUAGUAAAUGGAUUUUUGAUGAGCUCUCUGCCUUCUGUGAGACUGUGUUCCGUUAUCAAGAUAAAACUCGUCCUAUCAAUUAUGUGGCAAAAGUUUCAUCAAACAUGCAGCUAUAUCCCGCAAAAGACUGGCUAGUAGGUUCUUCAUUGCCUUCUAACUUCAGCUCAAGCAUUAUACAGAUGAUACUUGAUGAGCUAACUCCAGCAAAUGUAAGAAUAUUUUGGGAAUCAAAAAUUUUUGAAGGACAAACAGACAAGGUUGAGCCUUGGUAUGGAACUGGCUAUUCCCUCGAGAAUAUUAAUAGUUCAGCGAUACAGCAAUGGAUUUCUGCAGCUCCCAAUCAAAACCUACAUCUUCCAGCACCUAAUGUGUUCAUCCCAACUGAUUUAUCAAUUAAGGAUUUGACGGAAAAGGUUAAAUUUCCAGUUUUGUUAAGGAAAUCAUCAUAUUCCAGGUUAUGGUAUAAGCCUGAUACCAUGUUUUUCACUCCCAAGGCUUAUGUUAAGAUAGAUUUCAAUUGUCCAUAUACAAGCCACACCCCAGAAGCUGUGGUUCUUACUGAUGUUUUCACACGAUUAGUAAUGGACUACUUGAACGAAUAUGCUUAUGAUGCUCAGGUUGCUGGUGUAUACUAUGGGAUAAACAGCACUGAUACUGGGUUUCAGGUUAUUGUGACUGGUUAUAAUCACAAAAUGAGGAUCUUAGUGGACAAAAUAAUUGAGCAGAUACAGGAGUUCAAAGUAAAGCCGGAAAGAUUUGCUGUAAUUAAGGAAACUGUUUUAAAGGAGUACCAAAAUUACAAGUUUCAGCAGCCGUAUCAGCAAGCUAUGUAUUACUGUUCAUUGAUUUUGGCGGAUGCAUCGUGGCCUUGGACCGAACAGCUAGAAGUUAUUCCUCAUCUAGAAGCUGAUGAUCUUGCCAAGUUCUCAACUAUGCUUCUCUCGAAAGCCUUUGUAGAGUGUUAUGCAGCAGGGAACAUUGAACCAAAGGAAGCAGAGGAAAUGGUCAUCCAUAUUGAAGACAUCUUUUUCAAGGGUCUCCAACCCAUAGCAAGACCUCUUUUCCCUUCCGAGCAUUUGACAAAUCGAAUCGUUAAGCUUGAAAGUGGAAUUAGUCACUUCUACCCGGCGGAAGUUUUAAACCCAAGUGAUGAGAAUUCUGCCUUGGUCCACUAUAUUCAGGUUCACCAGGAUAGUACGAUGUUGAAUGUGAAACUUCAGCUUUUUGCUCUUAUUGCAAAGCAACCAGUGUUCCACCAGCUUCGCUCAGUUGAGCAACUUGGAUACAUAACAGUGCUUAUGCAGAGGAAUGAUUCUGGCAUCCGAGGACUGCAAUUUAUUGUUCAAUCAACAGCGAAGGAUCCUGGGCAGAUUGAUUUGAGAGUUGAAUCAUUCCUCAAGGAGUUUGAGAGUAAACUUUAUGAGAUGCCUGCUGAUGAAUUCAUGAGUAAUGUAAAUGCACUGAUUGAUAUGAAGCUUGAAAAGCACAAAAAUUUAAGCGAAGAAACUUCAUUCUUUUGGAGAGAGAUUUUUGAUGGCACUCUAAAAUUUGACAGGAGAGAGAUCGAGAUUGCAGCAUUGAAGAACUUAAGGCAGCAAGAGUUGAUAGAUUUUUUUGAUGAAUACAUUAAAGUGGGUGCACCGGCGAAAAAGACGCUAUCGGUACAAGUAUAUGGGGGUUCACAUUCCAGCAAUUACGAAGCGUCUACUAAAGAAAUAUCCUCGCAUCCUCAAUCUGUCUUAAUCGAGGAUAUAUUCAGCUUCAGGAGGUCACAGCCUCUAUAUGGUUCCUUUAAGGGAGGCAGUGGUCUUAUGAAAUUAUAGGUGGUCUGAACCUGCUGUCUUUGGGGAUGAUAGCACAUGCCGGGAAGUUACUGGGGCAGUACAAAAUGGAUAUCAACAGAUGAUAUAGGACAUUAUUGCUACUUUAUCACAAAUCAGUUUAACUUGAAACGAAGCAGAUUUAUUCAAUGGCUUUUUAUGCCUGAAAGGUGUCGGCUGCCGUUCUAAUGCAUAGAAGACAAUGUCGGACUUUGUGACAAUUUUAUCAUGCUUUUUUAUAUGUUUUCCCUUUUCUUUUGUGCUGCUGUAUCUGGCUGAGUUUUUGGAUGGGAAGUUCAGGUGAGCAUUCACAUACCUAUUUGCAGGGAAACAACCCCUACUGGCUUCAUUAUAGCUGGUAUUGGAGUAUAAGUGAGGACAUUUAAAAUAAAAAUAUUAGAUUCGUAAAAGCUGUUGGCUUGCUUCACAGCUGUUUGAUAAGGCCAA